CUUAAGAAUUGACGGGGGGGCGCACAAGCAGUGGAGCAUGUGGUUUAAUUCGAAGCAACGCGAAGAACCUUACCAGGUCUUGACAUCCUUUGACCACUCUAGAGAUAGAGCUUUCCCCUUCGGGGGACAAAGUGACAGGUGGUGCAUGGUUGUCGUCAGCUCGUGUCGUGAGAUGUUGGGUUAAGUCCCGCAACGAGCGCAACCCUUGACCUUAGUUGCCAGCAUUCAGUUGGGCACUCUAAGGUGACUGCCGGUGACAAACCGGAGGAAGGUGGGGAUGACGUCAAAUCAUCAUGCCCCUUAUGACCUGGGCUACACACGUGCUACAAUGGAUGAUACAAAGGGUUGCGAAGCCGCGAGGCCAAGCCAAUCCCAAAAAGUCAUUCUCAGUUCGGAUUGUAGGCUGCAACUCGCCUACAUGAAGCCGGAAUUGCUAGUAAUCGCGGAUCAGCAUGCCGCGGUGAAUACGUUCCCGCCCCUUGUACACACCGCCCG
rnacentral:rRNA from 1 species